rnacentral:rRNA from 1 species
UAGGGAAUCUUCCACAAUGGACGCAAGUCUGAUGGAGCAACGCCGCGUGAGUGAAGAAGGUUUUCGGACCGUAAAGCUCUGUUGUUGGUGAAGAAGGAUAGAGGUAGUAACUGGCCUUUAUUUGACGGUAAUCAACCAGAAAGUCACGGCUAACUACGUGCCAGCAGCCGCGGUAAUACGUAGGUGGCAAGCGUUGUCCGGAUUUAUUGGGCGUAAAGCGAGCGCAGGCGGAAGAAUAAGUCUGAUGUGAAAGCCCUCGGCUUAACCGAGGAAUUGCAUCGGAAACUGUUUUCUUGAGUGCAGAAGAGGAGAGUAGAACUCCAUGUGUAGCGGUGGAAUGCGUAGAUAUAUGGAAGAAUACCAGUGGCGAAGGCGGCUCUCUGGUCUGCAACUGACGCUGAGGCUCGAAAGCAUGGGUAGCGAACAGGAUUAGAUACCCUGGUAGUCCAUGCCGUAAACGAUGAGUGCUAAGUGUUGGGAGGCUUCCGCCUCUCAGUGCUGCAGCUAACGCAUUAAGCACUCCGCCUGGGGGAGUACGACCGCAAGGUUGAGACUCU